rnacentral:rRNA from 1 species
UACGAAGGGGGCGAGGAGUUGUUCGGAAUUACUGGGCGUAAAGGGCGCGCAGGCGGCGCAGUGAAGUCAGGUGUGAAAGCCCCGGGCUCAACCUGGGAAGGCUGCACUUGAUACUCGUGUGCUGGAGUGCGGGAGAGGAGAGUGGAAUUCCCAGUGUAGAGGUGAAAUGCGCAGAUAUCAGGAGGAACACCCGUGGCGAAAGCGGCUCUCUGGGACGGUACUGACGCUGAGACGCGAAAGCGUGGGGAGCAAACAGG